rnacentral:rRNA from 1 species
UACGUAGGCAGCGAGCGUUGUUCGGAGUUACUGGGCGUAAAGGGUGCGUAGGCGGUUGUUUAAGUUUGGUGUGAAAUCUCCCGGCUCAACUGGGAGGGUGCGCCGAAUACUGAAUGACUAGAGUGCGGGAGAGGAGAGUGGAAUUCCUGGUGUAGCGGUGAAAUGCGUAGAUAUCAGGAGGAACACCGGUGGUGUAGACGGCUCUCUGGACCGUAACUGACGCUGGGGCACGAAAGCGUGGGUAGCAAACAGG